GAGGGGCUCCUCAGUUAAACGACAAGCAAGUUCAUUAAGAAACCGACUUUCCAGCACGGCCCUGUAAUCGCAUUCAUCGGUGAGACUCCGGCGUCUCAACUUCUUGGCAGCCUCGCUGACCUCCGAAUAAGGGCACUGAGCUUCCUUUUGGGGAGAUGGAGAAGACGGGGGGGAUCGGAAGAGAGAGCUGAGAAAGUGAGCAGAGUGAAAAUAAGACAAAACAGAAGGCAACUCAUCUCCUGAAUGCUACGAUGACACCCCUGAGAUCUCAAGAGGAGAAGGGAGGCCUUCAGCACGCGCCACAAUCCAGACAGGAUUUAUGAGAAAAUAUUGCCGGGGGCUGCAGAGAAUCAGGCCUAGAAGUAUUUUGUCCUGAUUCAGGGAAGAGAGUGUUCAGCCUAACAACAUAAUGAAGUUUUUAAAAUCCAGGUUCCCAAGGAGUUUUUAAUCUGGAAUCACCCUUAUGGUAUAGCUACUUUGGGCAUCCACCAUAGCCAAAAGUUCUUCAUCAACAGAAUAUGUAUCUGGAGAGCAUGGGUAGGAUGAGGUAGGAGGGAAGGAAGAAAUCUCCUAUGGGAAAUUGCUUCAAGUGGGGUAAAAGGAUGCACUAAGACUCUAGGUAGAAGAAAGAACAAAUGCAAAUGGAUUCAGAUGGAUCCACUUCAAGGAUGCUCAACUCAGAUCUGUAUUUUGGCCACCAUGAGGGAGUGAAUGAAAUAGCGACAUCAUUUCACAAAUUCCCAGAGGGCAAGGUCAAAGGACUCUAAUAGUCAUUGGCAAGCCAAGUAUAAUUGGCCAAAUUUAUAGUCUUAUAUGUACGAGCUAGCCUGAAUACCAAUGAGUCAUCAGCAAAGAGUCCUGAAGCCGGCUAUCAUGGAUUAAAUAAUAAAAAUAAAAGACAAGAGCAAGGGGGAGAUGAGUAAAUAUGCUUCAACUAACAGAG